rnacentral:ncRNA from 1 species
CUCUAAUAUUUUUCUGGAUUAUAUAUUUCAAGGAAUAUAUACAAUGAAAUAUUAGAAUAUUAAAGGGAUUUAUUCCUUCCUAAUACAGGUAAAAAUGAAUCAGUAAAAAAUGUAUUAGUAGGAUUA